CCUGGGCGUCAAUACCGCCUCUCAGGCACUUUCUGGAUGAUUGUAAGCCAAUCCCUUUGCUUCUCUGAGCCUUAGUUUCCUCUGAGGUUACAGGAGGGAAGGAGAUUAGAUAGGCUCUGGGAUUCCAUCCAGCUAAUAACCUGUUGUCAGGAGACAGCAGUCCAGAAUAGGGAAGAGCUGCUUCCAUCCCAUUUCAUGGCUGGCUUCCUCCAUUGCUAUCUUUGUUUCAUGAUCAGUCAACCAAUCCUGUUCCCUCAGAACCCUGCUGAUUGACUUUGAAGGUGACCUGUUCUCUUCACCCUUUCCCCUUAAGUGGGGUCAGCCUGAAAUAAAAGGAAAGCCUUGUCUCGAGGGGGUUAAACCUGGAAGAAAGGUCUUCUCCUGGCAUUUUUCAUCUCCCACAAGUCUCCCAAGUUGUGCUACUUUAGCUUUUUUCUCUCUCAAUUGUCAGUGACCAAGAGUGAAGCCUCUUCCUAAAACCCAGGAAUUGUUCAGCAAUUCUAGGAAAGGAAAUGAUGCAGUCUUGAAGACAAAGGGUGGGGGAAAGCCCCCUACGCUUCAGGAUUGGCUCUUGAGAAAUUUCUGUCUGCGUAGAUUUUUCCAUGGUAGGAACAAAUUUUUAAGAGAUUUUGCAAAAAAUCAUGGAAUAUGUAAAGGACCAAUUAAUAUCCCAAGUGGAGAGCUGCAUGGAGUAAAGCACUGUAGGAAAAUAUCCAAUGGAACUAUGGAAUUCUGAGGAGCCGACCUCAUAUAUAGUACAAAGCAAGGAAAUACCUAAACUUUUCAGGGCUCCAGGAUACUCCCUAAGGCAGAGUUUCUUAACUUUUUGGGUGUCAUGGACCCCUUUUCAGAGAAAGGUUUUCCAAGCCGUCAUUGCUUUGGAAAAAGAUAUAAAGUAAGGGGUGUUUUUUUAAAGUUCAUGAUCGGGGUAGCCAGGUGGCUGAGUAGAUAGGGAGCCAGACCUGGAGAAAGGAGAUUGUGGGUUCCAAUCUGGUCUCAGAGACUUCAUAGCCUCAUGACCCUGAGCAAGUCACUUAGCCCUCAUUGCCUAGCCCGUCUGUUCUUCUGCCUUAGGACCAACCACCAAUAGGUAAUAUGAGUUCUGAGAGAGACGAUCAGGGUUCAAAAGGGAAGGGACCCAGGUGAUGAGUCUGCUCUACGAGGAGAUCGCCAAGCCCCUGGGGUCCCCAUCCUCACUGAAAUGACAGCUCUUCUGUCCAGCACAAAUCAAAUGUUCCAGGAGAUGAUCCUCCUUGUGUUCAGUCAAAUCAGAGUGUUGUUCUCAAGGUAAUCAUUAUGAAUACAUCCCAAAUGAAUAGGCGGAGGAGCCCAGGAAAUGUAGUCUCUCCUGGGAUUGCCUCAGCCCCUCCACAGUACAAAGGGCUCUCAAAUGUCCAAGUGAGAGGGAAAGGAAGGACGCCUUUACUUUACUACACAAAGCAUUUGGGGAUUGUGGGAUGGUUCUUCCAGUUGGUAUUUUAAGCUCUGAAUAAGCUUGUGCCUUCCCCCAGUGUCUGUAAACCUUAGCCCAUGGACCACCUAGCUAUCUGCCUUCUGAGUGACUGCAGAUUGGAACCUGGUACCAAAGCUUGACCCAAGUGUUCCAGUAGAAUCUGUGCGGUGGUGCAAGCGAGAGCCUCUAACUGACAAGAGGGACCAACUGACGGAGGAGGCUUCGGAGGAAGGAUGGAGCAGCUCAGGGGUGGGAGAGGAGCUUUUCCCCAGGUUUUCGCUCUUUCUCUCUCACGAAACCUCUGUCCUGUGGUCGGUGGCUUCCUGAUCCCUUGAAGAGUGAGCAGCGCAGCCCCGCACGCACUCCCGAAUUCCUCAGCGUGAAAGGGCCAUAUCCCCACCCCCCUCAUUCCCUCUGCUCUUCCCCAUUUCUUUUCUCUGUGGCGGGGAUUGAGGUGCCUGGCACAGGCAGUAAGUGCUUAACAAAGACAGUCAAUCAUUUCCUCUCUUGACAGUGUGACACUUCGGUAUAGAGGCAGUAUGGAGUGGUGUUUGCUUCCAUGUUGCUGUGGAGAAAGGAUACCAGAAGUCCAUGGAAGAAAACCAAAGUCCCCAAGCAUUUCCAAAGAAAGCCAUCCCAGAGAAAAGAGAAAGCAGAUGUCUGUACAGCACCAACCACAGCACAACACAGAGGCCAGACACCAGAAAAAACAGCAGAUGAACAAACAAGGUGAAACCACUGACUUAGGGACAGUGAACUGGCCACACAGAUGAACUUUUACUGAGAGGCAGUUUAUCUACAGAAGAAUAGCAUUAAUUUGUGACAUUCUUUUCUAAAUGUAUAUGGGUAUUUAUUGUAAGAUCAAUUCUUAUCAUGUACCUGAAUACUUCAAAUGGUAUUUGUACAAAAUGUAACUUGCAAUUAUUUUAUUGGAAUUGUUCCAUGUUACCCAAAUUUGAUCAAAAACAAAUUGUAGAAUUGGGAAUGUUAUAACAGUUCAUUGGAUACUGUUCAAUUGCAACAGAAAUUGUUCAUAUUAUCCAAAAUGUAUGUAUGAUAAUUGUCUUAAUCAGUUCAUUUUUCUAUUUGCAAAAAAAAAAAAAGGAUAGGUCUUCAUUAGAAUCACACUUACUUAAAAACCAAUUUGCAUUCAAGCUUUUAAAUGUAAAGGGGAUGUAAUGGUACUCCUAACCAUCAGUCACUUCUCCAUCCCAGAAGGGCUAUAGGCUACUCCUAUGCAAUAACAUUUCAAGUGUAAUGAUAAAGAUUACACUGUAGAGUAGCCCUGGAUUUGGUUGAAUAUUACCAGGAGAUACAGACUAUAGGGGACCCAACAGGAUGAUAACAUCGGGUCGAGGGUUUGCUUGUAUUUCUACAAAUAACGGAAACAUCUGGACACCCACCAAGCACAUCACGCCAUGCAGCUCAGGACCAGGAAGAGAAGCAGACGAACAAUGCAGAUGACACCGAUCACCAGCAGACAUGCUCCCUGGGGACUACACACAUGUCAAAGACUGUCAUUACACCUCUCUUGAUUAUAUUCACCAUCAUUGCCCUGAUGGACACUUGUCAUGCUGAAAUCUAUUGGUCUAUUACACCUAAACCCCAAUAUUAAGAAUGUUAACUUGGAUGGACAAGCCCCCACUUGUGUAUGUUCCUGACACCAAAUGGCUGCCAUACUCAAUGUUAGCCAGAGGCAUUGCCAUGCACUCAGAAGGGACUGGCUACAAUUAUUCAGACCCUACUGUAUACCCUUCAUUUUGUAUGUCUACGCCAUGUACUGACAGAAAGAAUUCAUUUUGUAGACCUUGUAAAAUUCAAACUUGGGUUGUAAGAAGUGCUACUGAUAACAAGUAUAUGGGCAUCAGUAUGGCUCUCCUGGGAACAGGGGCUAGAAUUGAUCCACCACAACAGAGACGGAGUAGCCCUGACAACAGAAAAUUGUAUUUGAAUUGGGUAGAGUCACUGCACAGGGAUUUAUCAUGAGCAGACAGAUGGUCCUGGUCAAACUCCUAGAGAGGUGGAGAUGUCAGGUAGAAUAGACUUGGAGAUCCUUACAUGGGGACCUCAAUCACUUAAACUGUCAUCUACAUCCAUGUAUAGAUUCUGUUCAUGACAAAACCUAGAUUGCUGUUAAGUACCAACCACCAUUGGUGUGGUUACCUGUGAAUCUUACCGACACGGGCAUCUACUCCAACUGUCCAUUUGGUCCACAGAGCAUUUCCCAUCAUCGUGCAUCACUCCAGAUGCUUUAUAUUGAUUCAAUUAUUGCUACAAUUGUGUUCACUGACUACAAAACCAAGGUUUUAUACGAGAGGUUGUGUCUAAUUCAUCUGAACGUUGACACACACAACAGUCUUGACCUGGCUUUUAAGGAUGAAUCAGAAACUUUGAAAGAUGCUGUAUUUUGGCUAAGAAAAGAGGGUGGAGCUUUGCACGCUAGAAUUACUUCUCCAUGUCAUUUCAACCAAACAGGAUAUUGUGUUACACCUUUCAAAUAUGGUCAUGGUUCAUAUGAAUGGCAAUCUCUAGUACAGCACAUUAAAGGAGCUUGGGGCCAUCCCCAAAGCACGUUGCAUAUUACACAUUUACAACAAAAAAUUAAUAAGCGAGACCAAAUUGUAUAUGAGCAGGAAGCUGUAGAAAUUGCUUCUAAAUGGAAAGAAACUUAAGCUUCUAUUAACCCUAAAAUUGGUUUGGGAGAAUUAAUUUUGCAAACAUUGGCAAUGCCACAUUCUUGGUGGUUAUAUUGCCUGGUUUCCUCAUACAGAAGAAGAGGUUUAAAUAAGGCCUAUAUCAGAAAUAUGCAGCCAGAAGUUGCCAUGUCACUUCAUCCUCAUCAUUCUUGUUGUUUAAAAAUGAUAUAGAGCAACAAACACAGAAUGUAAUGUUUAUGGGAAUAUUGGUACUUUUAAAAAUUCACAUGAAUUGUUGCAUUAAUGUUUUUGUAAAGCUUUUCACGAUGAAAACUUUUGUAUGCUCACCAUGUGAAUCUUGGUCAACUUAAAUUAGGGAAAUAGAAAUCAUUUUUGAAUGAAAAUUCUUGUAUUCCACAUUGGCUUAGCUAAAACGUUGCCACAUGAAAUGUGAGCCAUGAGUAGAAAAUUUUGUAUUAAUUUUAUUUUUGUUUUCCCUGAUUCUAUUUUCAGAUCAUUUCCCCCAUAUAUUUUCUUUUUAGUACUAGAAGUCCAUUGAAAGCAGUAUGAAUAGUUUGAUCCUGAAAUGUGAGUUAACAAUAUCUUUAAGCUUUCUUAUAGAUGCUUACCCAAUAGCUUGAGACUGUAGGAACCUGCAAGAAUGUGUGAAACCUCAUGGGACUGAUGUGAGUUAUUGUGUCUGAUUGCAGAAGAAGGGAUUGCAGUGGAUACAUUACACUUUGCCAGGAAGCCCAAGACAUAGAGAGUCCUAUAAUCCAUAUGAGACGGAUAAAUAUUGGUUGCUAAGGUUGGAGGUAAAAGGACGCGGUGUUUUGACACCCUCAAACACAGGUCGGCCUGGUACCAAAGUUCCAAUCAAAUAUCUAUGUGGCUGGGCUUCAAUAUCCCAAAGAGGAUGCAUGAUCCGACCAAGGGAAAGGAGGGACUACCCUCUCAUCUCAAACUAGAGUCCCUCUCUUUAGAUUUAAAGGUCUGGCAACUUCUUACAGUCCUGGCUGAACAUGGGUAAAAUGUUAUACUCAUGCACCCGUCCUACAGGACUAUGGCACUGAUCACAUUUAUUCAGGAUGCCUAGUGAGUUGUGGUCAUUCUUAUUUUUAUUAUUGGUCUUACAUAAUUUUUUAAAAUUUAAUUUUGCGAUUUGAUUUAGAAUUCUUUUUUUUUUGUUAUUUUUGCUAUACUCAUUAUUUUGUUGUCGUUUGGGUUUAGUUUAUCAUUUCUUUUUACCAUCAUA